rnacentral:rRNA from 1 species
ACCGGGGCUAAUACCGAAUAAUCCAUUUUGCUUCAUGGCGAAAUGUUGAAAGGCGGCUUCGGCUGUCACUACGAGAUGGGCCCGCGGCGUAUUAGCUAGUUGGUAGGGUAAUGGCCUACCAAGGCGACGAUACGUAGCCGACCUGAGAGGGUGAUCGGCCACACUGGGACUGAGACACGGCCCAGACUCCUACGGGAGGCAGCAGUAGGGAAUCUUCCACAAUGGACGAAAGUCUGAUGGAGCAACGCCGCGUGAGUGAAGAAGGUUUUCGGAUCGUAAAACUCUGUUGUAAGGGAAGAACACGUACGAGAGUAACUGCUCGUACCUUGACGGUACCUUAUUAGAAAGCCACGGCUAACUACGUGCCAGCAGCCGCGGUAAUACGUAGGUGGCAAGCGUUGUCCGGAAUUAUUGGGCGUAAAGCGCGCGCAGGCGGUUCUUUAAGUCUGAUGUGAAAGCCCACGGCUCAACCGUGGAGGGUCAUUGGAAACUGGAGAACUUGAGUACAGAAGAGGAAAGCGGAAUUCCACGUGUAGCGGUGAAAUGCGUAGAGAUGUGGAGGAACACCA